UGCCGAGCCGGUUCAAAAUCGCAGCUGCCUCAUUUGGUUAUUUCGAGUUGUUUAUGCUGCUGCGAAAAUAUGUGGGGCUGUGCUUUGAAGCUGCCUUUGAUUUCGAGUUGAGGCGAAGAAGGACUUAUGAGGCGUUUGGAUUAUGAAAUUGCGUUUUGAGGUAGGGGCGCUUUCCAAAAACUAUGUUUUAUGUAUUGGAAUUAUUACAUAUGGAUACUGAUGUGAGAUAUUGUGUAUUUGGUGAUUGUAUCUGCCUUAUGUAUUAUUUGAUUGACUCGAAUGAUUAUGGCUGUUGUUUUGGCUGAAUUGUUGUGCGGCAUUGUGAAAUGUAAUGUUUUGAAGUUGAUUCUUUAAAGAUUUGAAAUCUGAGUUUAAUCCGCUGAGGAUUGAAUUGAUUUGAGUUAAUUAUUUUGAUGAUUUGAAAAGUCGAAUGCACUUUUGAAUUCAGCCUGGUUUAUUUUAAUUGGCUUGGUUUUGGACAAAUGAUUUAUUACUGAGCUAUUUCUUUAAGGCUUUGGAAAUGAGUU